CAUGGAUCUUUCUGAAGCUUUGCGUACUUGGCUUCAAACUGUUUAGGUCCGAAAUUUGAAUCAAAUGUAGGCAAAGUUCUCGAUUCUUUCUCUUCUGGAUUCGUUCACAUUUCCUUAAGGGGUUGAAAUAGUUAAUACCAGCUUAAUCGUUUAAUUUUCUGGCGAAUCUUGAAUUUUUUGGUCAAAUCUCGAUGACUGUUUUCCAUUGGAUUUUGGUUGAAGCAUGUUCGAGAUUAUCACAUCGAGUCUCUGUUCCCAGACAUUUUCGGAUUCAAGUGUUAUUUGCUCUCAAGGUGCACAUCAUAAAUCUAUACUUUCAUUUGAUUUGCAAUAAAUGUUGGCUAUUUUGGGAUGAAUCUGUAUUCUGAAAAUGUGGCGUAAGGUAAUAUUAUGCCUUGGAGAUAUACACUGUUAAUAUAGCCGUAAAUCGAAAGUUUGCAUCAUUUCUGUUUAGAACGUUAUUGGAUUGACUUUUCUUUAUUGUUCAGAGGAUUCUAAUUACUGUUUUGGUGUAUGCCAUAAGCUCAUUGCUUAGUCAAGAGAUCUCUUUGUUGUUCCUAAUACAUUUGUAAUGCUUUUUUUAAAGAAAAAUUGGAUACUCUUCCUUCAGUAGAAUUUCACUUUAUUUCAAGUUUAAUUAGUUCAAAUUGAAGAGUGAAAACUGUGUGUUGUACAUCGCUUCAUAAUUUGGUUUGGGUUCAAUUUAUUAUAGUAUUUCGUAAAGGAGAAUGAUGAUAAUCAGGUUUAGAGCUUUGGUAAUUUUGUUUUUUUACCUUUAUUUCCUUGCUAAUUCAACAAUCAAUAUCCUUGAUUUUCUUUAUAUCACGGUUGUUUUUCCAAUGAUGCCAAUUUUCUUCUUGAACCGGGUAGCUGUAUAAAAUUUUUGUCGACUUUUUCGAUGAUGGAUAGAUAGCCAACUUUUGUAAGGAAAUUAGUCUUGCAGUUAGAUAUAGUUUAUAAUAAUUUAGGAAAAAUAAAUGGUUUGAGUUGGGGUUUUUUCCCAUUGACUAAGUUGUGACUUGCUUGAUACCAACAUGAUUUAAACCUCGGCAUAUGAAUUUUCGGCUCUUGAAAAAGAAAAAUGAUUGAAGUGAUGAUGCCAUGACUUUUAGACUCAAAAUUUGGCUCUAUAAUUCACUAAGUAGCUUCCUCUAUGCUAUAUGUAACCUCUUUGAGUUAUUUGUUUCAAUUGGAUUUUGGAUUUGUAUUCCACUUGAAUAUUCAUGUGCCGUGUGUGGUGAGAUUUAUUUAUGAGUUCUUUUGCAUUACUUGUAGUCUAUAACUUCCCUGGAAUGUGCUUCAAGGCGAAAUCAUAGACUAACUUGGUUUGAAAAAUGAUAUUAGGUCUUCCUUGGACUGCUAGUGUGCUUUAAAUUUCCUACCCUUGAAUAUUUUCCCUAGUCAACCAAUUUUGAUCCUUUAACCUUGUUCUUUGGCAACCAUAUUACAAGCUUAAAUCCUUUAUUCUUAAUUGACCUAACUUAUGGUACCCUACCUCCCUAAGUACGUCGAAAGUGUAGACAUAGGCUAAAAGCCUAAGUUUGGGGGUGAGGUUGGAAAAGUUGUGAUAUGAAAGUUGUUUGAAAAGGUGGAAGGUAGAAAAAAAUAAAAAUGGAACCUUCCUUGAUUGAACAAAAAUGAAAAAAAAUAAAAAAAUUUAACAAAAUAAUAGAAUAAAAUGACAAGAAGUUGUGAAAAAAGGGGAAGACUAGGUGUGGAAUGAAAAAGAAUAGAAAAUGUCUUUGUAAGAGGUGGACUUUAAUUGUAAACUUUGUAGCAUAUGGGGAGAUUUUGAGUCACUCUAACCAAAUUGUACCCUACCUUAACCAAAAGCCUAAACUACAACCCUUUAAGUCCUAGUUGAUUUUGAACCAAGUUGUCUGCAUUAGUGGAGGAAUACAUGAAAGGCAAGCCUAUGGUACUACUUGUAUGCAUUUGAACAUCUUUUUGGGGGAGGGUUAAUUCUUUCCAUUUGAUAUGCCUUUUUUGUUUUGAAUUAAUAUUUAUGAGUGUGGGAUCCUUUCUUAGUGAUAUGGCACAUGAGAUUUGAGUUGUGAAUUUAAUCUCAUUUUCAAUUGAAAGGAAUGACCAAGAGAGUUGAUUGUGAUAGAGAGGCAAAUUUUAAAGAUUUAAUGUCAUGACAUGAUUGCUACUUUGAUUUAUAUUCGUGUUUAAGUACUUGAAGUAUAAUGAAGUUCAUGAGAAGUUCUUAAUAAUUUAUAUGCUUUGGAGUAAUUGUUGGUACCAAUCAAAGUCAUGUUUUUGUGCUUAUAGUAGACCUAGUUGGGUUGGCAUGAUAUGGAUGCGUUGUUGAGUUAACUACUUGGGAGGAGAUAUUGUCGCUUUCAUUACUUGAGGACAAACAAUAGUUUAAAUUUGGGGGUUUGAUAAGUUUGCAUUUUACUAACUUAUCUUGUCUUUAAACCUAUACUUUGCUAUGUUGAGUGAGAAAAUUGUGUGUUUGAUAUUAUUUACUUCUAUUUUACAGGUUCUAUGUGAUUUAGAGGUAAUGGUGAAGAAACCAAGCAAAAACAAGUGAAAAAGGAGCCAAAAUGGGCAAAAUGAAGCCUACUAGUGAGUUGCUCUUCGCGAACGCGAAGGCACCACGCGAACACGAAGGAGUAGGAAAGCUAAACCUACAACGAACGCUUAGGAAACAAUGCAAACACGAUGCAGCAGGACAUAAACCUUCGCGAACGCAAAGUAUAUCACGCGAACGUUAAGCGGAACGUGAAGCUUCACAAACGCGAAGUUGUAAAUGCGGACACAUUGAUUGGGGAAAGUAAGCUUUGGCGAGUGAGAAGGCUUGACCGCGAACGCGAUAAAGAAACAGGGCCUGAAAACUGGGCAGUUUUGGAAUUUCACAUUUUUGACCGUGAACCCUUUAAUACCCAAAUCAGCUCAUUGGUAACAUAUCUUUGGCAUAUCUUAUUCAGAUCUUUGACUUAUUUUUCAGUUGAAUAGACUAGAGAGAACAAGUUUAAAGCUAGGGUUUUGCACAAGGUUCUUAGGCCUUGAAGAUUUGAAGCUUGUGGUUAAGAUUUUCUUACUCAUUUAUGUUGCUUUCUUCAUUUUCUUAUUUUUUAUUGUAUAUUUAAAUGUGUAGUAUUUUAUUCAACACUUGAAUCUUGUUUGUGGAAAUAUUCAUGUUUAAAGUGUGGAU
rnacentral:lncRNA from 1 species